rnacentral:rRNA from 1 species
UUAAAACAUGGAUUAGAUACCCGUCUAUUCAUGACAUAAAUAAAAGUCGAAUAUUACGAACAUUAGUUUAAAAUUCAAAGAUCUUGGCGGUGUCUUAUAAAACCAGGGGAACCUGUCUCAUAACUCGAUAACCCACGAUUUACACAACCUCUUUUUGAAAAACAGCUUGUGUACUGCCGUUGCAAGCAUACCUUUAAAAGAAUUAGUAUGCUACGAUGAUUAAUUAAAUAAUUAAUCCAAACACAUCAGGUCAAAGUGCAGUCGAUAAAGAGGUGACGAUGGGUUACAACCUAAAUAAAGAUAUGAAUUAAACACAUUAAAAAAUUUAUAAAAGUGGACUUGGCUGUAAUUUAGUUAAUCCAUUAAACAAAUGAAUUUAAAUCUAAGACAUGUACACAUCGCCCGUCAUCACCCUAAGUCUUG